AAGAUGUUGAGAUAGAAAAGGACUAUUGUAUAUUUUUCUGAAAUUAUGUUGUACUAGAUUUUAUCCCGCGGUAUACCGCGGUGACAAUUUAACUUUUUAAAGUUAGUAUAAUU
rnacentral:sRNA from 1 species